rnacentral:rRNA from 1 species
GAUAGCUGGUUCUCCCCGAAAGCUAUUUAGGUAGCGCCUCGUGAACUCAUCUUCGGGGGUAGAGCACUGUUUCGGCUAGGGGGUCAUCCCGACUUACCAACCCGAUGCAAACUACGAAUACCGAAGAAUGUUAUCACGGGAGACACACGGCGGGUGCUAACGUCCGUCGUGAAGAGGGAAACAACCCAGACCGCCAGCUAAGGUCCCAAAGUCAUGGUUAAGUGGGAAACGAUGUGGGAAGGCCCAGACAGCCAGGAUGUUGGCUUAGAAGCAGCCAUCAUUUAAAGAAAGCGUAAUAGCUCACUGGUCGAGUCGGCCUGCGCGGAAGAUGUAACGGGGCUAAACCAUGCACCGAAGCUGCGGCAGCGACGCUUAUGCGUUGUUGGGUAGGGGAGCGUUCUGUAAGCCGUUGAAGGUGGCCUGUGAGGGUUGCUGGAGGUAUCAGAAGUGCGAAUGCUGACAUAAGUAACGAUAAUGCGGGUGAAAAACCCGCACGCCGGAAGACCAAGGGUUCCUGUCCAACGUUAAUCGGGGCAGGGUGAGUCGACCCCUAAGGCGAGGCCGAAAGGCGUAGUCGAUGGGAAACAGGUUAAUAUUCCUGUACUUGGUGUUACUGCGAAGGGGGGACGGAGAAGGCUAUGUUGGCCGGGCGACGGUUGUCCCGGUUUAAGCAUGUAGGCGGAUGUUCCAGGUAAAUCCGGAACGUUAUUAACGCUGAGGUGUGAUGACGAGGCACUACGGUGCUGAAGUGACAAAUGCCCUGCUUCCAGGAAAAGCCUCUAAGCAUCAGGUAACAUCAAAUCGUACCCCAAACCGACACAGGUGGUCAGGUAGAGAAUACCAAGGCGCUUGAGAGAACUCGGGUGAAGGAACUAGGCAAAAUGGUGCCGUAACUUCGGGAGAAGGCACGCUGAUGGUAAGUGAAGUGACUUGCUCAUGGAGCUGAAAUCAGUCGAAGAUACCAGCUGGCUGCAACUGUUUAUUAAAAACACAGCACUGUGCAAACACGAAAGUGGACGUAUACGGUGUGACGCCUGCCCGGUGCCGGAAGGUUAAUUGAUGGGGUUAUCCUCGCGGAGAAGCUCUUGAUCGAAGCCCCGGUAAACGGCGGCCGUAACUAUAACGGUCCUAAGGUAGCGAAAUUCCUUGUCGGGUAAGUUCCGACCUGCACGAAUGGCGUAAUGAUGGCCAGGCUGUCUCCACCCGAGACUCAGUGAAAUUGAACUCGCUGUGAAGAUGCAGUGUACCCGCGGCAAGACGGAAAGACCCCGUGAACCUUUACUAUAGCUUGACACUGAACACUGGUCCUUGAUGUGUAGGAUAGGUGGGAGGCUUUGAAGUGUGGACGCCAGUCUGCAUGGAGCCGUCCUUGAAAUACCACCCUUUAAUGGCUGGUGUUCUAACGUNGGGUUGCGGACAGUGUCUGGUGGGUAGUUUGACUGGGGCGGUCUCCUCCUAAAGAGUAACGGAGGAGCACGAAGGUCAGCUAAUCCUGGUCGGACAUCAGGAGGUUAGUGCAAUGGCAUAAGCUGGCUUGACUGCGAGCGUGACGGCGCGAGCAGGUGCGAAAGCAGGUCAUAGUGAUCCGGUGGUUCUGAAUGGAAGGGCCAUCGCUCAACGGAUAAAAGGUACUCCGGGGAUAACAGGCUGAUACCGCCCAAGAGUUCAUAUCGACGGCGGUGUUUGGCACCUCGAUGUCGGCUCAUCACAUCCUGGGGCUGAAGUAGGUCCCAAGGGUAUGGCUGUUCGCCAUUUAAAGUGGUACGCGAGCUGGGUUUAGAACGUCGUGAGACAGUUCGGUCCCUAUCUGCCGUGGGCGCUGGAGAAUUGAGGGGGGCUGCUCCUAGUACGAGAGGACCGGAGUGGACGCAUCACUGGUGUUCGGGUUGUCAUGCCAAUGGCAUUGCCCGGUAGCUAAAUGCGGAAGAGAUAAGUGCUGAAAGCAUCUAAGCACGAAACUUGCCCCGAGAUGAGUUCUCCCUGACUCCUUGA